rnacentral:tRNA from 1 species
AUUAUUUUGGCAGAUUAGUGCAUUAGAUUUAGAAUCUACUUAUAUAAUUUUAUAUUAUAGAUAAUA